GGUUCCGUAGUGUAGUGGUUAGUGCGCUGGGCUAUAACCCCAGUGACCUGAGUUCAAAUCUCAGUAGGACCU